GGUUUGUGGCUCAGUGGUAGAGUGCUUACCUAGCACAUGUGAGGCACUGGGUUCGAUCCCCAGCACCA
rnacentral:tRNA from 1 species